UGAUCCUACGGGAGGCAGCAGUGGGGAAUAUUGCACAAUGGGGGAAACCCUGAUGCAGCGACGCCGCGUGAGUGAAGAAGUAUUUCGGUAUGUAAAGCUCUAUCAGCAGGGAAGAAAAUGACGGUACCUGACUAAGAAGCCCCGGCUAACUACGUGCCAGCAGCCGCGGUAAUACGUAGGGGGCAAGCGUUAUCCGGAUUUACUGGGUGUAAAGGGAGCGUAGACGGCUGGGCAAGCCAGAUGGGAAAGCCCGGGGCUCAACC
rnacentral:rRNA from 1 species